rnacentral:lncRNA from 1 species
UACUAGUUCUAUCCCAUAGGGGGCCUAGAAACUGCUGGCCUCAAAGGUGUAUAAAAUAUGUUAAUUUCCCCCCAGUUGAGGCUGGAGUCAGAUGCUCGGCUGGAGUCCUGGCCGGUAAUAAACUCCGGUGUGGAUUUAAUAUCAGUCUCUGGAGAGACCAGGACUUCGGCAGUGUUUGGCCCCUCUGGACACCGUUCUCCGGAAGGAGAGGCCAUCCUGAUGGUAUUCCGGGGCUCCAGGUAG